rnacentral:lncRNA from 1 species
GGCUAAAAUAGCCUUCUAACUUGCCGUAGAGGUCCCUUUUUUUUUAGACAUCCUGUGGCCCUUAUAAAAAGAUGUUACAGUGAGAACAGGAACAGAAAAUACAUUGUGGAAUAAAAUGAAAUAAAAAUCAGUAACUUUUGCACUCCUUUAAAUUAUGGCUACUCAACUUUAACAUGUAUUGAAAAUAACUUUUAAAAUAUAAUUUAUUAUUUUUAAGCUAAAAUGAAAAAGGUGUAAGCAUAAAUAAAACAUCACUGGAUAUUUUCUGAAUCCAGAGGAGUGCUCUUACAAAUUCUUAAAAAAAAAAAAAAAAUUGUUGAUGAUUUGCUUCCCAGUAGGACUGCAGGGACAAACAUCAGUCCAUCUGCUCUGUCACACAUCUGAAGAUGUGUGGGUGCUCCAUUAGUAAGCCAGAAAGCAGUAUUAACUUGUGACAGGUUUAAUUUCUCACGGACUUUCAAUGUCAGGCAUUCUGAAGCACAGUCUUUAAGCCCCCCCCCUUUUUUUUUAUUUUUUUCUUUCGAUGGGGACAGUAAGCGGUCCAGAAGCCUGAACUGUUGAGUUGGAGAAGCCUACUUAGGCUUUUAGCAUACUAAAGUACAGCUAAAUGUCUCUGCCUAGGUGGUACAACUCAUUGGCAGUACAAAAAUAAAAAAAAUUUAGGAAUGGUUAGCCUGGAAUUUUCAAACAGCCACAGCUUAAAAAUCAAGUCAAAAUCAUCUACUUACAAAAAAUGGCUUUUUCUGUAUCACAAUGUAUUUAAAUUCUAGUCUUCAAUGUUUGAAUUUCUGUAUUUGUGCUCCAAUAGUUUUAAAAUAUCUACAUGAUUUCCUUCAGGUUGCCUAAACAUGAUUCAUCUUUGAAGGGAAGAAAAGCUUAGAAAAUCUUGGCAUAAGAGGUACAUAUUUGAAGAAACAACAGGAUAAGAAUGUAACGAUUUCCUUAAAGGUUAUAGUCUUGUUUCCAGACAAGUCCAAUGCUUAUAGAAGCAUAAGAAGAUUAUAUUAUGUCUUUAAAUGGGAAGCGAAUGUAGAAUUUGCUUUGGUGGGUAUGCCAAUUUAAUUCUCUUUUGCCCUGACAGAAGUUAUAGAGAAAAGGUAUUUGUGUUUGAGUAAUGUUUGCAUAAGAAUGUCAGUUAAAUAAGGAAUAAUCUGUUGGUAAAGAGAUUAAAACCAAUGUUAAAAAAUUUAUAUUUAAAGCAUAGUCAUAGCAUAAAAAGUACUUAUUGUUUCAGAAAAAUGAUGUAUAGACUGAAUUAAACUUGAAAACAUGAAGGUUUUACAAUCUUCCCAGUUUUUUCACACCUAGAUUCAGAAACUAGACUGUAAAGUGCAAAUGUUUCAUUUCUUUAUUUUAUUUAAAAUGUAAAUGCUGUGCUGUGUUUAUGAUUGCCUGUGAAGAACUUAGCAUAUUACUUAUACUAUGAAAACUUGCAUGUUUCUACAUAAUCUUCAGAAAYACUGAAAUUUAUUAUUCAGCCUAGGGACACUUUAAGUAGGGAUGUACAGGCUACAUAUUUUGAUGUUAACCUUAUUAGAGUUUUCCUUAAGAAUGCAGUUUCAUGAAAAAAAUUGUCAUCUCGACAAAUAUUAAUAGAAGCUUUGGGGGUUUGAUUUACAGUCUAGAUCAAUAAAGGUAAAUGCAGCUUUUGCA